rnacentral:rRNA from 1 species
UACGUAGGGGGCAAGCGUUGUCCGGAUUUAUUGGGCGUAAAGAGCGUGUAGGCGGUUUGGUAGGUCCGUUGUGAAAACUCGAGGCUCAACCUCGAGACGCCGAUGGAAACCAUCAGACUAGAGUCCGGAAGAGGAGAAUGGAAUUCCUGGUGUAGCGGUGAAAUGCGCAGAUAUCAGGAAGAACACCCGUGGCUAAGGCGGCUCUCUGGGACGGUACUGACGCUGAGACGCGAAAGCGUGGGGAGCGAACAGG